CAUCUGUGGGGUGUUAUAGUAGUUGCUUUGCAAUCCAAAUAGAGUUGAGACAGUUAGAUAUUGCCAAUAUCAUGCAAAUGAUAUGUGAAAAAUGGUUAGACCUGCUAUUAUUUUGGCAUGUAUUAGCUGUUCCGUAUGCGUCCUUGGUAUUUGUAUCUGCCUGAUGAGAAAGAAUGAUCAUUGAGGUUGUAAAGUGAUCGCAGUACUGACACUUGCAAAAGUGAAGUUUCCUUGUCAGUGGAUCGUCGGCAAUUAAGAAAACAACCUCGCAUAAUGACAGGAGCUUCUUUUAAGAAUGCCAAAAGUUUCUCAUUUUAUUUUUCUCCUGGUUUUUGCUGUGUUUUACCCUCCUUUUAGUACUUACGAUGUCACCUGACCAUAUGCUUUUCAUUCUUAUCUUUCUGCCCUUGGUGCCUCACUUAAUUCAUUCUUUAAGAAUUUUGAUGGCCUGGGAGAUUCAUUCUGCUGAUUUCUAUUGUGUUUUUGCUUGAAGUCUUUUAAACCAAUUUUAUUUUUUUAUUCUGCAGGUUGUCUAUCAGUACUAGAAAAGACACGUUAAAGGCACUUGAUGCGGUGGAAAAUAUUGUAGCAGAUUUUGUUGUCAUGAAAGAGUUUCAUCCGGCAACAACUUACUUUUGUUAUCAACCACAACUGCUGAAUUUGUUAUCAGUUACAACUACCAAAAUUCAAAUUCCAUGCCACUGUAACCUAUCUCAUACAUAUGUUGGUCCACCUAUAA